AGCAGCCCGGACUUCCCCUCAUGGCUCUUGCACACCUCAGGCGUCUACCCUCCCAGGAAGUGGACCAGGCCCUCCCCAUGUCCCAAGCGACGGCCGCGGGGAGGGCCUGGUCACCACAGCCUCCUGGCUCCUGCGCUGGUCCGGAACAGCCCCAUGGGCCAGGAGGAGGGCCGUCUCCUCGCCUCUGACCCUCCUGGGAAGGUGCCAACAGGAGUGAGCUCAGGGUGUCCUUUGGCUCUGGUUGAUGGCCACCCCAUGACAGCACGAGACAGCUGCCGUCCGUGCUGGUGUGGCCUGGUCACCACCGUCUGCGGAGGCUGGCACGGUGCCCAACACACACGCGGUGAAGGAAUGAAUGAAUGAGUGGGUGAAGGGCAGAAGUGCCACCCACCGCGUCAAGGACCCGGGCUCUAUCUGCAGCACGUGCGGCCGCCUUUCCACACACUCGGCUGUCUCCAGUCUCCACACUGCGGUCCACACAAAGGAGGACUCGAGUCGUCCUCAUCUCUAAGUGGCUAACACAGGCGUCAGUGAUGGAAGAAGUAAAAGAUCUCACUUUUUUCCUUUAA